rnacentral:lncRNA from 1 species
AUGAAAGAGAAGAGCUGGCCCCUCAGAGAAGACUUCCUGGGUUACUGGAAACCCUCUGGGCUCUGGAUUUGCCUCUUACAGAGCUCUCCCCGGAGUUCUGACCCUGAGAAAAAGCUGAUCAGUGGUCUCCUUGUUCCGGAGCAGCUGACACAGUUUUCAGCACCACCCUACAGCUGCUUUUUGGGUUCAAAAGACUUUUGUGGCUGGCCUGGGAAGCAGAUCACCAUUUGUAACAUUGUUUCUAAGGGAGACACAUUCCAAGAUCCAAACAAUGAAUUUAUAAAGAAUGUUUGGCUUCCAGGAGGGAUGAGCAGAUCCGGCUGUACCCUGGGGGUUGGCUACCCAUUAAGGCUUAGGCCCCUUCCCUCUUGGCGUGGAGACCGACUCUGCAGGGCUGGUAUAUAAAUGCGGGGGAAGAAUUCUGAUAAGAGGGAAGGAACAGCUAAGGAGUCCCCCAGCUGGGGUGCUCUGGGGCUUCCUGUGCACUGAGAGCCCCUGGAGGUCCAGGGAUAGAUAAGAGGGGGAGGUUAAGAGGUGGACAAAGAAACUUGGCCUCCUUCACAUUGCUGUCACGUCUGCCAGCCCGCGAAGUCGAAGGGGCCUCGCUUAGCCCCUGCUCAGCUCAAACCGUUUUUGGAAUAAGCCGGAGUGUUAGAAAAAAAAAUCCUACAUCCUUUGCCUGGGGAAUCUGGGGCGCUCCAAGCGGGCUCCUCGGGGCAGCGUGACCGUUCCCUUGGAGUGGCUGUCAAAGCGCGGGGCGAGCCGAGGGGCUUGGGCCAAGGCGCUGUCCUUCUUGGAAAGGGCAGCGGCGAAUGGGGUGAAGGGAGCCAGCUCAUCCUCCCUACCCCCGCACUCCUACCCCCUCCCCGCUCCCCCAGCCCGGAAGAGGCGCUGGCAGCCGGCGCCCCGACUCGCAGGCAGAGAAGGAGGGAACGCGCAGCCACAGCAUUGUCUGGGAGGGAGGGGAGAAGCUCCGCCCCCCCAGAGAGGAGGGCAGGGGAGGCGAGGGGAGGGGAGAAGGGGAGGGAGGGCGGGAGAGGAGGGGAGGAAGAAAGGCGAGGGAAGAGGGGUGUGGGGAGAGAUGGAGAGCUAGAGA